rnacentral:rRNA from 1 species
GACAGAGGUGCCGAGCGUUAGGCGGAAUCACUGGGCUUAAAGCGUGUGUAGGCGGGCGGGCAAGUACCUUGUGAAAUCCCACGGCUCAACCGUGGAACGGCUGGGUAUACUGCCUGUCUUGAGCCAACUAGGGGCGAGCGGAACAGACGGUGGAGCGGUGAAAUGCGUAGAUAUCGUCUGGAACGCCAAAGGUGAAAACAGGUUGCUGGGAGUGUGCUGACGCUGAGACACGAAAGCCAGGGGAGCAAACGGG